rnacentral:rRNA from 1 species
ACACAUGCAAGUCGAGGGGCAGCGCGGGAUAGCAAUAUCCUGGCGGCGACCGGCGGAAGGGUGCGUAACGCGUGAGCGACAUGCCCGUUGCCCGGGGACAACCGGUGGAAACGCCGACUAAUCCCCGAUGGGAUAUUGUGCCGCAUGGCACGAUAUUGAAAGUUACGGCGGCGACGGAUUGGCUCGCGUCCGAUUAGCUUGUUGGCGGGGUAACGGCCCACCAAGGCUACGAUCGGUAGGGGUUCUGAGAGGAAGGCCCCCCACAAUGGGACUGAGACACGGCCCAUACUCCUACGGGAGGCAGCAGUGAGGAAUAUUGGUCAAUGGGCGGAAGCCUGAACCAGCCAUGCCGCGUGCGGGAAGGAGGCCCUAUGGGCUGUGAACCGCUUUUGCCUGGGGGCAAUAAGGGCGUCGCGCACGCCCGAUGAGAGUACCAGGCGAAUAAGCAUCGGCUAACUCCGUGCCAGCAGCCGCGGUAAUACGGGGGAUGCGAGCGUUAUCCGGAUUCAUUGGGUUUAAAGGGUGCGUAGGCUGUGCGUCAAGUCGGGGGUGAAAUUCCGGUGCUCAACACCGGGGCUGCCCUUGAUACUGUCGCGCUGGAGUGCGGAUGCCGCCGGAGGAAUGAGUGGUGUAGCGGUGAAAUGCUUAGAUAUCACUCAGAACACCGAUUGCGAAGGCAUCUGGCGAAUCCGUAACUGACGCUGAGGCACGAAAGCGUGGGGAUAGAACAGGAUUAGAUACCCUGGUAUUCCACGCCGUAAACGAUGAUGGCUAACCGCCGGCGACACACUGUCGGUGGCCAAGCGAAAGCGAUAAGCCAUCCACCUGGGGAGUACGUCGGCAACGAUGAAACUCAAAGGAAUUGACGGGGG